UACGUAGGGUGCAAGCGUUAAUCGGAAUUACUGGGCGUAAAGCGUGCACAGGCGGUUUUGUAAGUCUGUCGUGAAAGCCCCGGGCUCAACCUGGGAAUUGCGAUGGAGACUGCAAGGCUUGAAUCUGGCAGAGGGGGGUAGAAUUCCACGUGUAGCAGUGAAAUGCGUAGAGAUGUGGAGGAACACCGAUGGCGAAGGCAGCCCCCUGGGUCAAGAUUGACGCUCAUGCACGAAAGCGUGGGGAGCAAACAGG
rnacentral:rRNA from 1 species